CCCUGCUACAGACCAACCAUGUCCCCCCAACACUACCUCACAUCCCUCCUACAGACCAACCAUGUCCCCCAAACACUACCUCACAUCCCUCCUACAGACCAACCAUGUCCACCCAACACUACCUCACAUCCCUCCUACAGACCAACCAUGUCCACCCAACACUACCUCACAUCCCUCCUACAGACCAACCAUGUCCACCCAACACUACCUCACAUCCCUCCUACAGACCAACCAUGUCCACCCAACACUACCUCACAUCCCUCCUACAGACCAACCAUGUCCACCCAACACUACCUCACAUCCCUCCUACAGACCAACCAUGUCCCCCCAACACUACCUCACAUCCCUCCUACAGACCAACCAUGUCCCCCCAACACUACCUCACAUCCCUCCUACAGACCAACCAUGUCCCCCCAACACUACCUCACAUCCCUCCUACAGACCAACCAUGUCCCCCCAACACUACCUCACAUCCCUCCUACAGACCAACCAUGUCCACCCAACACUACCUCACAUCCCUCCUACAGACCAACCAUGUCCCCCCAACACUACCUCACAUCCCUCCUACAGACCAACCAUGUCCCCCCAACACUACCUCACAUCCCUCCUACAGACCAACCAUGUCCACCCAACACUACCUCACAUCCCUCCUACAGACCAACCAUGUCCACCCAACACUACCUCACAUCCCUCCUACAGACCAACCAUGUCCCCCCAACACUACCUCACAUCCCUCCUACAGACCGUCCACCCAACACUACCUCACAUCCCUCCUACAGACCAACCAUGUCCACCCAACACUACCUCACAUCCCUCCUACAGACCAACCAUGUCCCCCCAACACUACCUCACAUCCCUCCUACAGACCAACCAUGUCCCCCCAACACUACCUCACAUCCCUCCUACAGACCAACCAUGUCCACCCAACACUACCUCACAUCCCUCCUACAGACCAACCAUGUCCCCCCAACACUACCUCACAUCCCUCCUACAGACCAACCAUAUCCACCCAACACUACCUCACAUCCCUCCUACAGACCAACCAUGUCCACCCAACACUACCUCACAUCCCUCCUACAGACCAACCAUGUCCCCCCAACAC
rnacentral:lncRNA from 1 species